GGUCAUAGUUCAGUGGCAGAGCAUCUGUCUUGCAGGCAGAAUGCCCUAGAUUCAAUCCCUGGCAUCUCCA